UGGGGAAUAUUGGACAAUGGGCGCAAGCCUGAUCCAGCAAUGCCGCGUGUGUGAAGAAGGCCUUCGGGUUGUAAAGCACUUUUAUCAGGAGCGAAAUACUACCGGCUAAUAUCCGGUGGGGCUGACGGUACCUGAGGAAUAAGCACCGGCUAACUUCGUGCCAGCAGCCGCGGUAAUACGUAGGGUGCAAGCGUUAAUCGGAAUUACUGGGCGUAAAGCGCGUGUAGGUGGUUGUCAUAGUCAGGCGUGAAAGCCUCGAGCUCAACUCGAGAACUGCGCUUGAUACUGGGCAGCUUGAGGACCGGAGAGGAUAGUGGAAUUCCCAGUGUAGUGGUGAAAUACGUAGAGAUUGGGAAGAACACCAGUGGCGAAGGCGGCUAUCUGGACGGUUUCUGACACUAAGACGCGAAAGCGUGGGGAGCAAA
rnacentral:rRNA from 1 species